UUUUUCUUGGGCAAAAUUUCCUACUAACAAAACAGCCCUAAUUCUUUUUCCCUCUUUUUCCCAAAGUCCCAAACACAACCGCUCUCGAUCUCUCUCUCUCUUGCCCAGUACCUCACCACUCUCUAUCUCGCCCAAAGUCCCAAACUGGAAAUUUCUCAGCUCCGGAACCUCACCGUUCCCGCCGUUAUGAACAUUCCGAUGGCCCAAUCUUCUUCUCGCCGUCAGCUUACAGAACAAAAACUUGAGGAGGUAGCUUGAGGAGGGAGGAGCCCCCAAAACGAAUUCGAAUAAAAACCCCCAAAAAGAUUCUAACUUUGAAAUCAGAGGACUCCCAAACAAGGGCGGAUCCAAGUACACCCUUGGGAGGACUCAAGCCCACCCGAAGUCCUAGACAACAAAACUUGAGAACCCCCGAGUCCCCGACGAAGACUCUCAUACUCCCUCUCAGUCUCUCACGUACUAUACUGCUCUAAGAGAUCAAACCUUAGAUGUUAGAUCCAUAGUUUUGUCUUCUACUCUUCUUCUUGAAUUUGGGGCAAUCAAUCAAUUCAAUUGGAUUGAGGAUUGUUCUGUGUGCCAUCGAUGUGAGAGGAAUGAUGACGGUAGAGUUAUUUGCGGUGGAACUUGCUUACGAAAAUGGCACGCAGCAGCAGCUUUUCUAGUUUGAAAUCGGUUUCUUUUUCCAUUACUGGGAAUCGCUUCCCAUCUCUAACUUCAAGACCUGGACCCUUUCAAGUUUCCUAUUCGAGAACACCAUCCAUUAUUUGAAAAGGCUGCUCAUCUUCAAGUCAGCAGUGACGGAUUUGGAGUUAAUUUUGGAAAUCCAAAGCCAAGAGCUUGAUAUUACCGGGUUCUCAUGGCAAAAAGAGCAAAGCAAAUGAAAGCAAGUGCAAAGCUCACAAAAUGACAAAGUAAAAUGGUGCACUUGUGAUUGUUGUUUUAUUUCAAGUGUGGUUAUAAUUUUCAAUACUUGAAAAUGACAACACAUUUAUUUUCAUUUUAGUGUGUUUGUAUUUGAAUAUGGUACGAUGAC